rnacentral:rRNA from 1 species
UGAGGGAAUAUUGGGUCAAUGGGGCGUAAGCCUGAACCAGCCAAGUAGCGUGCAGGAUGACGGCCCUAUGGGUUGUAAACUGCUUUUAUGCGGGGAUAAAGUUAGGGAUGUAUCCCUUUUUGCAGGUACCGCAUGAAUAAGGACCGGCUAAUUCCGUGCCAGCAGCCGCGGUAAUACGGAAGGUCCGGGCGUUAUCCGGAUUUAUUGGGUUUAAAGGGAGCGUAGGCCGUCGUUUAAGCGUGUUGUGAAAUGCCGCGGCUCAACCGUGGCACUGCAGCGCGAACUGGAUGACUUGAGUUCACGGGAGGUAGGCGGAAUUCGUGGUGUAGCGGUGAAAUGCUUAGAUAUCACGAAGA